CCUACGGGAGGCAGCAGUGGGGAAUAUUGGGCAAUGGGCGCAAGCCUGACCCAGCAACGCCGCGUGAAGGAAGAAGGCUUUCGGGUUGUAAACUUCUUUUAAGAGGGAAGAGCAGAAGACGGGACCUCUUGAAUAAGGCAUGGCUAACUACGUGGCAGCAGCCGCGGGAAUACGUAGGUGGCCAGCGGUGUCCGGAUUUACUGGGUGUAAAGGGCGUGCAGGCGGGAAGGUAAGUCAGAGGUGAAAUCCCCGGGCUCAACCGCGGAACUGCAGUUGAAACUGGUUUUCUUGAGUACCGGAGAGGUAAGCGGAAUGCGUGGUGUAGCGGUGAAAUGCGUAGAUAUAAGGAAGAACACCAGUGGCGAAGGCGGAUGACUGGACGGCAACUGACGGUGAGGCGCGAAAGCGUGGGGAGCAAACAGGAUUAGAUACCCCAGUAGUC
rnacentral:rRNA from 1 species